rnacentral:rRNA from 1 species
AAGCGGAGGAAAAGAAACUAACAAGGAUUCCCCUAGUAGCGGCGAGCGAAGCGGGAAGAGCUCAAAUUUAUAAUCUGGCACCUUCGGUGUCCGAGUUGUAAUCUCUAGAAGUGUUUUCCGCGUUGGACCGCACACAAGUCUGUUGGAAUACAGCGGCAUAGUGGUGAAACCCCCGUAUAUGGUGCGGACGCCCAGCGCUUUGUGAUACACUUUCAAUGAGUCGAGUUGUUUGGGAAUGCAGCUCAAAUUGGGUGGUAAAUUCCAUCUAAAGCUAAAUAUUGGCGAGAGACCGAUAGCGAACAAGUACCGUGAGGGAAAGAUGAAAAGCACUUUGGAAAGAGAGUUAACAGUACGUGAAAUUGUUGGAAGGGAAACGCUUGAAGUCAGACUUGCUUGCCGGAGCUUGCUUCGGUUUGCAGGCCAGCAUCAGUUUUCCGGGGUGGAUAAUGACGGUUUGAAGGUAGCAGUCUCGGCUGUGUUAUAGCUUUCCGUUGGAUACAUCCUGGGGGACUGAGGAACGCAGCGUGCUUUUUGCGAAAGACUCGUC